rnacentral:rRNA from 1 species
UACGUAGGGGGCUAGCGUUGUCCGGAAUCAUUGGGCGUAAAGCGCGUGUAGGCGGCCCGGUAAGUCGGAUGUGAAAUCUCAGGGCUCAACCCUGAAACUGCAUUCGAUACUGCCUGGCUAGGGUACUGGAGAGGAGACUGGAAUUUACGGUGUAGCAGUGAAAUGCGUAGAUAUCGUAAGGAAGACCAGUGGCGAAGGCGAGUCUCUGGACAGUUACCGACGCUGAGGCACGAAGGCCAGGGGAGCAAACGGG